rnacentral:rRNA from 1 species
UACGUAGGGUGCAGGUGUUAAUCGGAAUUACUGGGCGUAAAGCGUGCGCAGGCGGUUAUGUAAGACAGGGGUGAAAUCCCCGGGCUUAACCUGGGAACUGCAUUUGUGACUGCAUAGCUAGAGUACGGUAGAGGGGGAUGGAAUUCCGCGUGUAGCAGUGAAAUGCGUAGAUAUGCGGAGGAACACCGAUGGCGAAGGCAAUCCCCUGGACCUGUACUGACGCUCAUGCACGAAAGCGUGGGGAGCAAACAGG